ACCCCAGUCACCUAAUAUAUAAGGCACUGGCCUCCUAAGCCAGGGAUUGUGGGUUUGUGUCCCACUUGGGAGG
rnacentral:tRNA from 1 species